AAACAGGGAUCUGACCUUGUGCAAUUGGGAAUGGUGCUGUCCUUAGAGAAAAGCCUGGAAAAAGAACUUUCAUUUUAUUAAAGGAGAUUGAGUACUUAAGCAGAAAUGUUCUUUCGUGAGACUGAUUUACAACAAAUUAAACUGAAUGUGACUCAUGCAGUGUUUUUGCAGCCAACCUUCUUCAUAAUCAAAAUAGUAAAGACGUGUUUUACGUUGCUCUUCAGGUUGAGAAAAGGCAGGACCAUUGCAAAUUCUGAGACAGUAACAAUCUCUUGCUGAAAUGAAAGCACUAAAUUUGCUGCUCAGAGGCUGUCAUUCUAUAAUUAACCAUUUGCCUUUUCAUUAGUCAUUAGCAAAGCAUCUCUUCAGUGAAGAGCUGUCGAAGAUACAUGGUACACCUUCAUAUUAUUCUUAUGAUAAUUUGAUUAUAAAGUAGUGCUAGAAUGUUAAAUGCCAUGAUAACAUUGAUAUUUCUAUCUUGUUUGUUCUGUUUCUAUUUUUAUAUUUUAGGACAAAGAGCAAAGUGUAAACUGGUUUUGCUGCAAAUCAGCUUGCAAAGCAACAUGACUUUUAUGGCCACAUGGUACUGAAUUGCUUAAAAAGGAUGGGUAAUUUCCUUGUUUAACUGAAUAAAUUACGUCUUGGCCUAGAUACUAAACUCUCUAGGUAGGAUUGACAGAGGAACAGUGGAGUAACCUCAAAUUUGAUGGACACUUUCUGUCUCUCCUCAGAUGGCUGUAUGUCAGAAGUCACAUCACAACAAGGGGUUAGCUUCCAGGCAGGGAUAAAAGAUAACAAGGGAAACCUGAGAAACCGAAGCUCACCUCCCACCUUGUUGACCCCAGCCAGAACAUUCUUGGAACAAUGCAUUCCAAUCAAUCAGUCUUUGGAGAAGCUGUGGAGUACAUCAUCGCAAAGAAGACACAUCACUAGGCAGAGAUGGCAUGGCAGUGGGACUGGUACCUGGCUGAUUAUAUUUCAUCUGAAUUCAGAAAACACAGGACAAGAAGUGGAUCAUGUUAUAAAACCUUAAGACCCAUGUCAAGUAAUAUACUUCUUCCAGCCAGGCUUCACAUGAAAGUCCCAUUGCCUUUACAAACAGUACCACUACCUGGGGACUAUGGGUUGAAACAUGAACCUGCAGGGAACAUUUUGUAUUAGAAAAACAGAAUGAAACAAUUAUUAUUUCAAUAUCAUGCUACAAAUUGCCUAGCAACUUUGUAACUCUCUACUCAUUUAAUCAUUGAAUAAAUCAUGUAGUCAUAUUUUGCAGAGAGACAAUCAUGGUCGAAUGGACCUUAAGCAGUCUGCCUGCUAUUAUUCAAAUAGUACUUAACAAGAUGAGAGUUUUGACCUAGAGAACCUAGCUUCUAAGUCCACACUCUUAAAUACAUUGAACUGUACUCUGUCUACACUAUUAUGAAGUGGCUUUAAAGGACUUUCAAUGAUGUUAGUGUGACUUUGCCAGCAUCCUCUUCUCUCCUGAUGGAUUUGGGGAAGCAAAAUAGUGAAAAUGAACUUCAGCAUAGACUGACUUGUGUAAAAUGGGCAGAAUUUUAAUUGCAGUUAUUAUUGAGCAAUACUGAUCUUUGAAAAUGUUUUAUGUUUUUUAUAAUUUCACAAAUGACUGGUAUAUUUACAUUAUUUCUCCCCUCUUCUUCAAAGUCACCCCCUGAUUUUCCCACUCUCUCAAAUUUAUAUCCUCUUCCUCAGUUAUUAUCACUUUACACACAAAACAAAACAAAACAAGCCUAUUGCGUCCACUUAGUUUUGUCUGUAUGUACACACUCUAUUUUAACUGUAUCUGUGUUAUCUCUCAAAAUGAAGUGAUAUGGCAUAGUUAGACAGAAUAAUAUUCAAAACUCUUUGAUUUUUCUAGUAAACAAGAAAUUUCUUUCACACAAGUUUUAAGUCUUCAGUGUUUUGGGCAGAAUUAAUUUACUUUCAAUGCAGUGAAAAUUGUGAUAAAUAAUUUAUUUAGGUUUUCCUCAAGCAUAAAUCUCAGUUUUACACAUUUGUCUCUGUUCUUCAUGUUAGGAAAAUCACUGUCACUCUGAUCAUCUAAUAUCCUAAUUAUGAGCUUGUUUCUGGUUGUCUUGUCAGGCUCCCUACUGCUAUAAUUGUAUUCAUUAUUCAAUCUUUCGUACAAGACUAAAUGUAAACUCACGAAACAGAGCAGACUGUCUGAUAAACUAAUCCUCUCUAACUUUGGAAAUCAUAGCCUUAAGAUGUCCAUAAUGUUUAUUUACUGAAAAUGCUCCAGCUUUGUCCCAGUGUGUGCACUCCAGAGGGAGACUGUAAGAGUCAUCUUGUGAACACAGGUAAUAAUGCUUAGUGGAAUGAAUAUCUGAUUACGAUUGAGUAUAAUAAUAUCUAUCUCUUAAAUAAGAUUGCUUAUUUUUCCCUCAGUAAUACAAAGCAACACAUGGCACAGUCCAGUGCAAUAUUCCACUCCUAGUAAAUGUAGAUGUUGUAAUACAUCAUCAUGGUAACAUCUUAUUUAAACCUCUUCACUGUAUUGUAAAACAAAGUAUUUUGUUCAAGCACUUUGAUAUAUGAACCUAAGAAUAAAUAUGACAAGUAUCAUUAAUUGAGCUCUUGCUCAAUUAAUGUAAUUUAUUUUCUGCUUUCAGUUUCCACAUCCACUAAUAUCUCUUCUACAUUUUGUAAACUAUUGUUAAUUUUGUACAACGCCAAUGGUUCUAUGUGGAUUUUUUUUUACUUCAGAUUUAUUUAAUUCAUUAAUUUUAAGAUGUUUUCUUUUUACAGGUCUUCUUACUUAAACAACUAAGUAUUUAAACCCUUUGUGUAUGUUUGUCUAUGUGAUUUAAUUUUAAUUAAAAGAUAAUUACAUUUUUACCUUUA